rnacentral:rRNA from 1 species
UACGUAGGGUGCGAGCGUUAAUCGGAAUUACUGGGCGUAAAGCGUGUGUAGGCGGUUCGCUGUGUCCGAUGUGAAAGCCCCGGGCUUAACCUGGGAAUGGCAUUGGAAACUGGCGGGCUUGAGUGCGGCAGAGGGGGGUGGAAUUCCGCGUGUAGCAGUGAAAUGCGUAGAGAUGCGGAGGAACACCGAUGGCGAAGGCAGCCCCCUGGGUCGACACUGACGCUCAGGCACGAAAGCGUGGGGAGCAAACAGG